rnacentral:lncRNA from 1 species
CCUCUAGUACCUUCGUCGGCCAUCGGAUUAAGGUGAAUUCCUUGCUCUGAUACCAAUUUUGGUGGGGAAACGUGUUUGAAUUCUUGUAAUAAGAAUUAUAAUGAAAGAAAUAUGAAACGAUAUAGGAAUAAUUUGCUUUAUUGAUUGAAUAAUGAAUAAUUGAUUGAAAAUUGUACAAUAGCUUCUAUUUUUAUAGGCAGAUUAUUCCUAUUCCUAACAAUACUAGGAAAUUGAAAUAAGGAAACUAGUGAACUAAUAAAACUUUAUUCUAAUUAAAACUCUCAAUAAAAUAAAAGUCCUAACACAAGAAAAGAAACUCUUAGAAAAUAUAAAAUAUAAUUGUAGUAGGAAUCCUAUUGUAGUUGUACUACAUCAGACCCCCACCGUCUAACGCACUUCCUGCUUUAGACAAUAAAGGUAAAGCUCCGAAAACUUCAAGAACCUCUUCUCGUUUGCAAUGCUUCAAUUGUAAGGGCUUUGGCCACAUCUCCUCUAGAUGUCCGAGCUGAGCCUUAGUUAUUGACGAGCGAAAAGAUGUCGUUGAUGAGCCUUUAGAAGAUCAAGUCUAUGAGUCUAACUUUGAAGAGUUUGACAAUUUGGGUGAUAAUGAGGAUACCUGCUCAGGUUGCUUUCAUACCCUUCAUGUAGGUCUAGGUCCUACUUAUCUGGCCCCCGACACAUCUCGGUUAAGUGUUGUACGUUGUACCCUUAUCCAACCUAAGGAUGUCGAUGAUUGGCGCCGUCAUGCUAUUUUUCAUACUUAUAUCAAGAUCAACAAUAAAGGUUGUAAGAUUAUUGUUGAUAGUGGGAGCUGUAUUAACACGGUCUCUGUGACCACAGUAUCCCGUCUUGGAUUGAAGUCAGUCCCGCACCCCCAAUCAUAUAGCGUCUCCUGGGUUGACACUUCUUCUAUAGCUGUGAAAGAGCAUUGUCUGGUGCCUAUCCAAUUUCUUGGGUAUAAGGAUCAUAUAUGGUGUGACGUUAUCCCUAUGGAUGUUGGGCAUGUCAUUCUUGGUCGACCUUGGUUGUUCGAUCUGGAUGUAACUAUCCAUGGGCGAUCAAAUUCAUGUUCUUUUGUAUUUAAUGGAAAGAAGAUUCACCUUAAUCCUUUAUCACCAAAAUCUGUUGACUUACACCAAGCCAAAAAAAUUGUCGAGAGGAAAGGAUUACAUGUGAUUAGCCCGGCAGAAAUUGAACGGACAAUCGUAAAUGACUCAAUCGUAUUUGCUGUGAUUGUUAUGAAAGUCCCGUUCGAUCCCCCAAUAGCAACCCCUACUGAAGCCCAUUCACUCCUUCAGGAAUUUAAGGAUGUAUUUCCUGACGACCUCCCUGAUCUACUGCCUACCUUACGGGAUAUUCAACAUGCUAUAGAUCUGGUUCCAGGUUCGUCUCUCCCAAACUUGCCUCACUAUAGAAUGAAUCCUGCUGAACAUGCCGAGCUCUAGAGAUAAGUGGGUGAACUCUUUCACAAAGGCUUCAUUUGUGAAAGUUUAAGCCCUGGUGCAGUGCCCGCCCUCAUGACACCUAAGAAGAAUGGUUCUUGGAAGAUGUGCGUUGAUAGUCGCGCUAUCAAUAAAAUCACUGUCAAGUAUCGUUUUCCCAUCCCUCGACUUGAUGAUAUGCUAGAUAUGAUGGCCGAUGCCACAAUCUUUUCCAAAAUCGAUUUGAAGAGUGGGUGUCAUCAGAUUUGGAUCCGCCCAGGAGACGAGUGGAAAACUGCAUUUAAAACGAAAGAUGGCCUAUACGAGUGGUUGGUAAUGCCUUUUGGACUAACCAAUGCUCCAAAUACUUUUAUGAGGGUGAUGACACAGGCCCUUCGGCCUUUCAUGGGCAAAUUCAUUGUCGUAUACUUUGAAGACAUCCUCGUGUACAGCAAAACAAGGGAACAAUAUCGAGAUCAUCUCACGCAAGUUUGCUCUACAUUGCGUGCAACAAGCUUGUAUGCCAAUGUGAAGAAAUGUUCUUUCUUCACGGAUACAAUUGUGUUUCUCGGAUUUGUUGUUUCCGCUACGGGAGUAUCUGUUGAUCCUGCAAAGAUUCGGGCAAUUGUUGAGUGGCCAGAUCGCAAGAAUAUACAUGAUAUUAGGAGUUUUCAUGGUUUAGCUACCUUUUAUCGUCGUUUCAUCAAGAGAUUUAGUACGAUCCUGGCUCCUAUCACAAAGUGUAUGAAGAGAGGAGAAUUUCAUUGGACGCAGGAAGCGGUUAAGGCCUUUCAGUUAAUCAAAAGGCAAAUGACAGAGGCUCUUGUCAUGCGACUCCCAGAUUUUUCCAAAGUUUUUGAGGUCAAAUGUGAUGCGACAAGGGUAGGAAUAGGUGGAGUCUUGAGUCAAGAACGCCAUCCUAUUGCUUAUUGUAGUGAGAAAUUAAAUGAUGCCAAGCAACGGUACUCGACUUAUGAUAAGGAGUUAUACGCAGUUGUACAAGCCUUGCGCUAUUGGCGUCAUUACUUAUUACCCCACGAAUUUGUCCUCUUUUCUAACUAUGAGGCUCUUCGUUUCCUUAAUUCCCAGAGACGAUUGAAUUCUCGGCAUGGCCGCUGGAUCGAAUAUUUACAAGCCUAUUCUUUUGUCUUAAAGCAUAAGAAGGGUGUUGAAAAUCAAGCUGCUGACGCUUUAAGCCGUCGCAUCUCCUUCUUGUCCGUCAUGAGUGUUAAGGUUCUAGGGUUUGAAAGACUUAAGGAAGAGUACGAGUUAUGUCCCGAUUUCAGGGACAUUUUUCUUGCUUUGCAUAAUGGGGAGUUGGACACCACUGAUGGUUUCCGUUUAGAGGAGGGCUAUCUUUUUAGAUCCAAUAAGUUGUGCAUCCCCAGGAUUUCAGUGCGAGACUUUAUAGUGUGGGAAAGUCAUGCUGAUGGGUUGGCUGGACAUUUUGGGCGUGAUAAGACCAUAGAGGAAAUUGAACAUCAAUUAUAUUGGCUCAGUUUAAAGACUGACGUGGCCAAGAUUGUUGGCACAUGUAACACCUGUCAACGAUCUAAGCACAAAAGGCAGAACACAAGCCUCUACACUCCUCUCCCCGUCCCUAGUUGUCCUUGGUAAGACGUUAGUAUGGAUUUCGUGCUAGGGUUGCCACGUACUCUAAAGAAACACGACUCCAUUUUUGUUGUCGUAGAUCCCUUCUCAAAAAUGGCACACUUUAUUUCCUGUAGCAAGACUUCCGAUGCAUCUAAGGUUGCUAAGUUAUACUUCCAUGAGAUCGUCAAGCUGUAUGGCCUCCCUAAGACCAUUGUCUCUGAUAGGGAUGUUCGUUUCACUAGCCAUUUUUGGCGAACCCUAUGGAGUAUGGUUGGCACUAAACUAAAAUUCUCUACUGCAUAUCACCCACAAACGGACGGUCAAACUGAGGUUGUUAACCGCAGUCUUGGUAAUCUAUUAAGAUGUUUAGUCCAGGAAAAUCUUAGGAAUUGGGACUUAAUUUUUCCUACUGCCCAACUUGCAUAUAACAGUUCAGUGAAUUGAUCUAUAGGUAUGAGUCCUUUUGAGAUUGUUCAUGGUUUUAAGUCUAGGAAGCUGUUAGACCUUAUUCCUAUGUCUCCACAUGCUAGUGUGUCUGUGUCAGUUGAGUCUUUUGCACAACAUCUGCGUGACUUGCAUAUUGAGAUCAAUAAACAGCUAGAAGCGAGUAAUGCAUUAUAUAAACUUCGAGCUGAUUUGCACAAACGCCAUGUUGAAUUUAAUGUUGGGGAUUAUGUUAUGAUUCGAAUUAGACCGGAACGGCGUCCAUCUGGGCCUGCUUCUAAAUUGCAAACUCAUAGUGCUGGUCCUUUUAAAAAUUUAAAGCGUGUUGGCCCAAAUGCUUAUGUCAUUGACUUACCAUCACAUUUUGGCUACCACCCUACCUUUAAUGUUAAAGACUUAGUUGCUUACAAAGGUCAAUUUCACCCCGCUGAUGAUCCUUUCACACCUCCAUCUCUGGACCCUCAUCCUGAACAUGUUAUUCCUGCCCCAAUUCCACCUGCUGCAGCACAUAAAGAUAAAAUUGAUGCUAUUCUAGAUGCACAGACUAUAUUAACCAAGGAUAGAGACAUUCAGCGCUUCCUUGUUCGUUGAGAGGGCCGUCCUGAUUCUGAUUGUACUUGGAUCCCCAAAGAGACACUUCAACAGCUUGAUCCUGACUUGUUGGAGAAUUAUAGGAGUCAACAAGAUCUUCCUCUACCCGGACCACCAUCUUUGCGUGUCUAUAGAUGUCGAAAGAAGUUUGCUCAACCGAUCAGUUUGUGGCUAGGAGAUUGACAGCAGCCUUUUGUGACCUACCUCCUCGACGAGGUCGAGUUUUUCUCCCACCCCGGGAGAGUUGAUGCGGACAUCAUCCUCAUUUUAUCUUUUAGUUAUUUAUUUUGGGCUUAUGUCUUUUACUUAUUUAUUUCGGGCCUAUGUCUCAUUGGGCUUGUAUAUGGGUUUGGUCCAAGCCCCCAAGUUAUUGUUUUGUUAUUUAUGUUAUUGUAAUUGGGAUCGAAAGUUAGCAGAUGAUGAAUGAAUGAAUUGUUGCCUUCCACUCCUCUGUCUUCUCUCUCCCCCCUCUUUCUUCUCUCACGUUUUCCCUUCUCUUUCCCCGGCUUCUUCCUCUUCUGCUUUUCUCUUCUUCUGCUGUUUCUUCCUACAUCACUAAAACUUGAAAUGGAAGGUGAUAACUUGUUGUACUGUAGAGAUGUAGCUAUAUCAUAAGGAGUACUAACCUUAUUUGAACCACCUGAACACAUGGAUUGAGGAUGAGCUGAGCAAGAAAGGAGAUUGCAAUGAUACUAUUCAAGGUAACUAGAAGUGUUCCUGACUUUAGACCUGCGAGGUAUAGGUGUAGAAGAGGGCCCAUUUGAAGUAGAAAUGGAAGUAUCCAAUUCUUGAGAGGGAAGAGGUUUAGGAAAAACGAAAGGAUUGUCAUAAGAAACGGAAGAUAAAUCUUUAUAAGGGAAGAUGUGUUCAUGAAAAACUACAUCUCGAGAUAUGAAAGAGGUAUGAAGAUCAAGAUCAUAAAGUUUAUAUCCCUUGACACCAUAAGGAUAUCCAAGAAAUAUACACCUACAAGCUCGAGGAGCAAAUUUUGAACGAUUGUGAGAGAGGGUAGAGGCAAAACAUAAGCUACCAAAGACUCUAAGAUGAGCAUUAAUAGGAGGUUUGGCAUAAAGGAUCUCAAAAGGAGACUUGUGUUGCAACAAGGGAGUUGGUAAACGAUUAAUCAAAUAUGCUGCAGUUAAGACAGCUUCUCCCCAAAAUUGAAGGGGUAACUUGGCUUGAAACAUCGAGCAGGUGCUGAUGUUUGCGUUCGACUACACUGUUUUGUUUAGGUGUAGCAACACAACUCUUUUGUUAAAUAAUUCCUUUUUCAGCACAAAAAUCUUGCAUAUCAAGGUUGGGAGCAUUAUCAGUGCAAAAUUGUUUUAUUUUAACUUGGAAUUGUGUUUCAACGAGAUUAUAGAACCAUUGAAUGUAUGAUCUUGAUUCAGAUUUAUAGUGCAAAAGAUAUAUCCAUGUGGAUCUAGAGAAGUCAUCCACUAAGGUGAGAAAAUACUAUGCACCAUUUAAAGAAGGAUGAGCAAAAGGCCCCCAUACAUCACAAGUACUAACUGAAACACGUGUGUAGAAAAUGUAUCACUAACAAAGAAAGGAUGCCUAUUUUGUUUAGCCAUUGGACAAAUAGUACAAAGGAAUUCUUUAGGACUAGAGAUUACUUUAGAAUUGGAGUUAACAAGACUUUUUAAACAAGUAGGAGACAAGUGACCUAGGCGAAAAUGCCAAAGAUUAAAACAACUUGAAUUUGCAGAGGAAGUAGCACAUGUAGGAGACUGUAGGAAACCUUGACAGAUGAUACAAUCCUCAUUUUUCUUCACCAAUACCAAUCGUCGUCCAUGAGAUAAGGUCCUGAAUAAAGCAGUAACGAGAUAGAAAAAUUAAGCAACUAUUAGAACUAUGUGUGAGUUUACUGGCUGAUAGCAAGUUGAAAGAAAAGGAAGGAACACACAGGACAUUUGUUAAACGAAGUUUAUUUGAAAUGAGAAUAGUGCCAAUAUGAGUAACUCGUACAGAAGCACCAGUAGGCAAUUGAGCAAAAGAAUUUACUUUAGCUGUUAUAGUGUUGAGAAGAGAAGUUGAACACACCAUGUGGUCUGUUGCUCCCGUAUCAAUAAUCCAGGGAGCAUUCGAAAAAGAAGUAGGAGUAGAAGAAAAUGAUGGGCAAUGAUUUAUACAUGUCAUAUUGCAUAAUUUGAAUUGAGGCUGAAAUAAUGGGGUGAGGUUAUCACACUUACUGACCAAAGAAGCGUCAACGGGUGGAGCAUUGAUUGGUUUAAGUAAAUUGAGGAGCUGAUUGUAUUGUUCUUGAGUGAGUGGCAUUGAAGAAAGAUUCUGCUCGCUGGAAGAUGCCAUUGAAUGAACUUGGCUUGAAGAAUUAAUUCCUUUACUCUUGCCUGAUUUAAAACCCUAGAGGAAAACCAAUAAUUCUGAAGCACUUGUCAGUCGUGUGGGACGUAUAACCACUUUCAGCACAAUAUAAUUUUCCUUUUCGAGGGCCAGAUGGCUGCUUGAAUGAACCAGAUGAAUAUUGAGGCAGAGAAGGACCAGGUGCUGUCUUGCUAGCCAUAGCAGCAGAGUCAAACUGAGGAGUAUAAUGACCAAUAUGUAUUUGAGUUUCCUCUUGUAAAAUCAAAGAGAAAACUUUGUUGAGAGAAGGCGAGGGAUCAGAUAACAGUAUUUACCUCUUAAUGCAGCAAAAAUCUCAUUCAGUCCCAUAAGAAAGUGCAGAACGUAAUCUUGAAGAUGAUAAUCCAGUAGAGUUUUAACACCAGGACUGGAAUCAUUAGGUAAAGGACGAUAAUUGAAAUAUUGAUCCCACAAGGUUUUGAACUUGGUGAAAUAAUUAGUCACUGAUGACGAACCUUGAGUAAGAGCGCAGAUCGACCUUUUCAAUUGAAAGAUGUGGGGAGCAUUUCCUUAACUAAAUCUCUCUUCCAUUUCUUUCCACAGGUCAGAUGUAGUAGCAAUAUAAGGAACACUAGCAGCAAUAUCUUUAUUCAAGGAGUUUUAAGAUCCAAGAGCAAACCAUGUCAUUACAACGAAUCCAUGCUUGAUAAGAAGGAUCAGUUGUAGAUGGCUUUGGGAGAUUUCCAUUGAUAAAGCCAAGCUUGUUCUUAGCAGAGAUGGCCAUGGACAUUGAUCUCUUCCAAGGAAAGAAAUUGGAUCCGUUAAGAACUUAAGAAACCCAUACAGUACCAGGACUGUCAUUGUUUGCUAAGAACAAAGGAUUAGAAGAAUCUUCAGCAGCCAUAAUCACAAUCAGCAAAGGAACUAAUAUAGAACGCAGUAGAAGACAUAAAAUUGCUUUGAUACCAUAUCAAAAAAGGAGCUAGAAAAAGGUAAAAGAAUGGGAAAAUCCGGAGAGAAUCAGACUCUCUUUUCUUUUGUAUUCUGUAAAGAACUGAUUAAUGUUGUACAUUGAUUCUAUUUAUAGAAUUAGCUAUCAAAUUGCCAGCUACAACUAACUGCAUUCGAACUGCUAACUAACAGCUGUAACUAUUUAUUCCAGCUCAUCUUUUCUAACUUCAACUGCCUGUAACUGCAGCUUCAACUUUAGUUUUCGUUUCAGCUUCAGCCACCGGUUUUGCUUCAACAAGUUGUUGGGUUGUAACACUGUGUUUCUUUUCAUCUUUUGAUUCAAUUCAGCUUGUGAGCACAUUUAAUCAUGGAACUUUGCACUCAUCAUCUGCGUCUGGUUUUAUGUCCAUUUGUAAGCAAAACUUCUAACCUUUGAAAUGCCUGGUUGGACGUUUUCUUUAUCUUUCCUUUCCUUGUACA